rnacentral:rRNA from 1 species
CACAGAGGUCUCAAGCGUUGUUCGGAUUCAUUGGGCGUAAAGGGUGCGUAGGCGGCGCGGUAAGUCGGGUGUGAAAUCUCGGAGCUUAACUCCGAAACUGCAUUCGAUACUGCCGUGCUUGAGGACUGGAGAGGAGACUGGAAUUUACGGUGUAGCGGUGAAAUGCGUAGAUAUCGGGAGGAACACCUGUGGCGAAAGCGGCGCACUGGACCACAACUGACGCUGAGGCGCGAAAGCUAGGGGAGCAAACAGG